UACGUAGGGGGGCAAGCGUUGUCCGGAAUUAUUGGGCGUAAAGAGCGUGUAGGCGGCCAGAUAAGUCCGCUGUGAAAUCUCGAGGCUCAACUUCGAGCUGUCGGUGGAAACUAUCUGGCUAGAGUCCGGAAGAGGAGAAUGGAAUUCCUGGUGUAGCGGUGAAAUGCGCAGAUAUCAGGAAGAACACCCGUGGCGAAGGCGGUCUCUCGGUAGGGA
rnacentral:rRNA from 1 species